GCAUGUUUUCCAUGGCGCAGAGCAGACCGAGGAGGUGUACAAGACGCAUAGACAGGGCGGAAGGUCGACAACCUGCAAACAGUGACUCCGGGAUACACUUCAUCCAGGCCUGGACAUCUCAAGUGUCUCCCCUGGCUUGAAAGGACAUCUCAAGUGUCUCCCCUGGCUUGAA